UACAGCCUGGGACUGCAGCACUGUGCUAGCGCAGGGAGACUGGGAAGCAGACGUGACCAGACACAAAGGUGAUAAAGGCUCCUCUCAUUUCCAUGUUCAACCAGAGCGGAAUGCAAAUACCAAGCAGUGCAUGACAAAAGGUCUCCCUACUGAUUCCAGCAGCAGUCUCCAUAAAUAAUUUUGUUUGGCUUUCAACUCACUGUGAGCUGACAGCAUCUCUCACUGUGAAGCCAAGAAUGGCCAGUAACUGGCAGGAAUCCAUGAAGAGUAUAAGAGAGGUGGAAAAGGACUGGAGAACAGAAUAAGCCUACAGAGUAAUCCUCUACCCAUGGCCAUUAGCAGAGAGCUGGAUUGGAAAUGGAGCAAUCAAGCCUUGAACCAGCACCCAUAAAUGAUGCCGUCCUCACAGGUGGCCUGUAUGCCACAACACUGGCUUAAGAAGAAAGGAAUAGUAAACUUUGUUAAAGGGUUCUAAGAGGUGUAGCAAGAUGAGAUCAGAGAAGUAUUACUUGAUUUGAAAUCCUGGACAUUAUAAAUGACCUUGGCAAGAGCAUCUUAAAUGGUAUCAUAUGGAUCAUCUUGGAGACUGGUAUAGAUUGCAGGGAGAACUGGAAUUGAGAAAGGAGAAAUAGCAAAUGUUGACUAACUUUCCAAGAAAAUGUCUUUCAAAUGCAUAAGAGAGAGAUGGGUAUACAAUUAAAACAUGGUAUACAGUCUAGAAUCAUCUAGAAUUUAUUUUUAAUUUGCUGGAUGCUGAGUACGUAUUUGUAUGAAUGUGGAUAUCAUAAGAUGCUUUCUCUUAGUCAUUUCCCAUAGUAAUGCAUUUUGAAAGAAUUAUUGAAGCAAGAGUGGGCAUUUAGUCUAGUAGUUUAAUACCCACAUCCCAUAUUGGAGUACACGGAUUGGAUACAGGGCUUUAACUACUGACCCCAGCUUUCUGCUAGUGUACACCCUGCAAGGCAGCAAUAAUUGACCAAGUGUUAACAACAGGAGUCACUGUGUACUUACUCCUCAUGUAGGAUCUGUCCUUAAUGUGUUGUCCAAUGUGAAGUAAUGCUAUAACUAGUACUGAAACAGUAUUUUACAAUUUAUGUUCUGUGUGGGUGCAAACUGUUGAAAUCUUUACUUAAUAUAUACUAAAUUGGUCUUCUGUAUAUAAAGAUAAUUGAAAAUGAAUCUUGAUGUGAAUGG